rnacentral:lncRNA from 1 species
CUUCGAAGGCAUCUGCAAAUUUCAUCAGUGUCUUUUCUAAACUUAUACCAUUCUGCUUAUCUUGAUUUGUGUCGGUAUUUGGUCGUACAGCUAGAUAUACAUGUACAGUUUUUUGUCCUGUAAAUAUGCAAAACCAACCUAUGCCUUCCUUUUGCCAACUCAUCUUCGUUACAAUUUUAGAAAGAAACUUCUCGAUCAUAGUAUUUGUAACGUGAAUAUUGGUCGUCGGCGUGAAGAAAAGUCUCAUUUCCGUGACAUUAUUUUCCUUAUCUGAUGUUGAACAAUUUUGAAUUACUUUCAUGACAUGCAAAAUGCUUGGAACAAGAUUUUUGUCGAAAGACUCCCGUAUGCUCCAAAAUAUAGUCCAUCUAUCAUCAUGGGACAAAUCACAUAAUGAUAUGACACCAAGUGGUUUUGAAAGACACUGGUUACGUACAGAAGUAGCUUUAUUUUCUACGACAGAACAGUUGAGAUGCAGCCACGGUUUCAAAACAGGAGCUAUUUGGACCUGAAAGCAUUU